rnacentral:rRNA from 1 species
AACGAACGCUGGCGGCAUGCCUAACACAUGCAAGUCGAACGAGACCUUCGGGUCUAGUGGCGCACGGGUGCGUAACGCGUGGGAACCUGCCCUUAGGUUCGGAAUAACUCCCCGAAAGGGGUGCUAAUACCGGAUAAUGUCUUCGGCCCAAAGAUUUAUCGACUUUGGAUGGGCCCGCGUUGGAUUAGCUAGUUGGUAGGGUAAAAGCCUACCAAGGCGACGAUCCAUAGCUGGUCUGAGAGGAUGAUCAGCCACACUGGGACUGAGACACGGCCCAGACUCCUACGGGAGGCAGGAGUGGGGAAUAUUGGACAAUGGGCGGAAGCCUGAUCCAGCAAUGCCGCGUGAGUGAUGAAGGCCUUAGGGUUGUAAAGCUCUUUUACCCGGGAUGAUAAUGACAGUACCGGGAGAAUAAGCUCCGGCUAACUCCGUG